UCCAUAUCUCAGGAAGGAAAAAAGCGAAUGGAAUUUCAGUCAAGUCUUUUUUUCUGCUUUAUCCUUCUCUCAAUCAAAGAAAGGGAAUGCAGAUGUUCUGUCGCCCUCUCUUCGUAUGCCACCAGCCUUCCUCUCAAAACCAUACUGAUCCGAUCUUGCGCAGAUAGGUAGGGACGAUCCCUCCAGUAACCAUGCCUAAAAUCAUAAGCUGACCCAUUACUUCUGUAGGUGCCUCAAUUCUGCCCAUUUUCCUACUUAUAUAACUCUUUGGGGUCCAUACCGCACUUGGGGACGGGAUAUGAUUGCUUUCUUAAACAAACCUUUUAGAGCGUUGUCAUCUUACCAGCACAGGACUCAAUAGUAAGGACUGUCACUGCAUUGAUAUCGC
rnacentral:lncRNA from 1 species